GUGUCAGCAGCCGCGGUAAGACAGAGGUGGCAAGCGUUGUUCGGAAUUACUGGGCUUAAAGGGCGCGUAGGCGGUGGCGUAAGUCCGGGGUGGAAGGCUGAGGCUUAACCUCAGGAUUGCCCUGGAAACUGCAUCACUUGAGUCAGCAAGGGGAUGGCGGAAUUCCUGGUGUAGCGGUGAAAUGCGUAGAUAUCAGGAGGAAGGCCGGUGGCGAAGGCGGCCAUCUGGUGCUGAACUGACGCUGAGGCGCGAAAGCGUGGGGAGCAAACAGGAUUAGAAACCCCUGUAGUCC
rnacentral:rRNA from 1 species